rnacentral:rRNA from 1 species
GUCCUGGCUCNGAUUGAACGCUGGCGGCAUGCCUUACACAUGCAAGUCGAACGGCAGCACGGGUGCUUGCACCUGGUGGCGAGUGGCGAACGGGUGAGUAAUGUAUCGGAACGUACCAUUCAGUGGGGGAUAACUAUCCGAAAGGAUAGCUAAUACCGCAUAUUCUGUGAGCAGGAAAGCAGGGGAUCGCAAGACCUUGCGCUGAUUGAGCGGCCGAUAUCAGAUUAGCUAGUUGGUGGGGUAAAAGCCUACCAAGGCGACGAUCUGUAGCGGGUCUGAGAGGAUGAUCCGCCACACUGGAACUGAGACACGGCCCAGACUCCUACGGGAGGCAGCAGUGGGGAAUUUUGGACAAUGGGCGAAAGCCUGAUCCAGCCAUGCCGCGUGAGUGAAGAAGGCCUUCGGGUUGUAAAGCUCUUUCGGCCGGGAAGAAAUCGCAUAGGUUAAUACCCUGUGUGGAUGACGGUACCGGAAUAAGAAGCACCGGCUAACUACGUGCCAGCAGCCGCGGUAAUACGUAGGGUGCGGAGCGAUCAAUCGGGAAUUACUGGGCCGUAAAGCGUGCGCAGGCGGUUUUUUAAGACAGGCGUGAAAUCCCCGGGCUUAACCUGGGAACUGCGCUUGUGACUGGAAGGCUAGAGUACGGCAGAGGGGGGUGGAAUUCCACGUGUAGCAGUGAAAUGCGUAGAGAUGUGGAGGAACACCGAUGGCGAAGGCAGCCCCCUGGGCCGAUACUGACGCCCAUGCACGAAAGCGUGGGGAGCAAACAGGAUUAGAUACCCUGGUAGUCCACGCCCUAAACGAUGUCAACUAGGUGUUGGGUGGGUAAAACCAUUUAGUACCGGAGCUAACGCGUGAAGUUGACCGCCUGGGGAGUACGGCCGCAAGGUUAAAACUCAAAUGAAUUGACGG